rnacentral:rRNA from 1 species
CCUACGGGAGGCAGCAGUGAGGAAUAUUGGUCAAUGGGCGCGAGCCUGAACCAGCCAAGUAGCGUGAAGGAUGACUGCCCUACGGGUUGUAAACUUCUUUUAUAAAGGAAUAAAGUGAGGCACGUGUGCCUGUUUGUAUGUACUUUAUGAAUAAGGAUCGGCUAACUCCGUGCCAGCAGCCGCGGUAAUACGGAGGAUCCGAGCGUUAUCCGGAUUUAUUGGGUUUAAAGGGAGCGUAGACGGGUUGUUAAGUCAGUUGUUAAAGUUUGCGGCUCAACCGUAGAAUGGUAUUUGAUACUGGCAGUCUUGAGUACAGUUGAGGUAGGCGGAAUUCGUGGUGUAGCGGUGAAAUGCUUAGAUAUCACGAAGAACGCCGAUUGCGAAGGCAGCUUGCUAAACUGCCACUGACGUUGAUGCUCGAAAGUGUGGGUAUCAAACAGGAUUAGAUACCCGUGUAGUC